UCUCUUCCGAGCAGCCCUAGGGCUCUAAGGUCUCCCACGCUGGGUGCUGAGAGAGAUGAGCAUACUUUCAGGAGCUAGCAGCCUAAUGAGAAGACGCAGCGGAUGCCUCCCAGAGAGACCGAGGAGGAGCCCGAGACCAUUCUUGGACAUCCUGUGAAUAUCAGAAGAUACAUUUUGGAGGCGUUAAAAGAAGGGGAUAUGGUCUUCACAUUUGCCUCCAUGGUUCCACCCAACCUUCCUUGGACACAAACAUACCUUGACAAGUGAUCUUGCCUAAGCAAGGACAAAGCUAUUAAAAAGGUGAGAAUUUUCUUCCUGUUUCAUUUUUUCUUCCUCUUAGAUUCC
ensembl:lncRNA